rnacentral:lncRNA from 1 species
CAGAGGUAAUCUACCUCAUCAGUCUCACCUGUAUGGUUGCCUUUAUAGCAGGUGCUGCCCUGCUGAGCAGUGCCAGAAGAUUGCCUGCUUUCCUGCCUGUGACGUGACAGCCUGUCAAAGCGGCUAUCUGCUAUGCACCUUUAUUGCCAUUGCUGUUCCAUUGUUUGCCUGCUGUUGGAUCUUAUGGUGAGACUCCAGGACCUUCUUGUCUCUUGGAGUUGGAUCUGAUGUGUUGCCCAACGGGGCCUCUCUCCCCACCUCCUUCCCUGGAUUUCCAUGACGCGCACUCAAAUUGUGUGCGUUCUCCCUACCACCACAAUGUACCUGACCUCCCUGGUGGACAAAGACGUCACAGCCCUAGCACGCGCAGCACUUGUGUCUAUCUUAAAAGAAACAUCAACUCUGCCUUACUGGGAUCCACUCACUCGUGCAUCCUGAUGGCUCUCCUGUUCAGCUGAAUGCAGUCAGACAGCAGUGGGAGGCAGAGGAAGCUGCUGAACAUCAGCUGCUGCACUUCUGCUCUCACUCCACCAGAUGGAGACAUGGAGCUGCAGCAGCAAACACUCCAUGAUGGAGGAACAUUUCACUCAUUCACUCACUUUAACCAAGAGAAUAAACUUGUUUCUACAAUUCAUGAAUCAAAUCAAGAAAUAAAGUAAU